GAUGAACGCUGGCGGCGUGCCUAAUACAUGCAAGUCGAGCGAACGGACGAGAAGCUUGCUUCUCUGAUGUUAGCGGCGGACGGGUGAGUAACACGUGGAUAACCUACCUAUAAGACUGGGAUAACUUCGGGAAACCGGAGCUAAUACCGGAUAAUAUAUUGAACCGCAUGGUUCAAUAGUGAAAGACGGUCUUGCUGUCACUUAUAGAUGGAUCCGCGCUGCAUUAGCUAGUUGGUAAGGUAACGGCUUACCAAGGCAACGAUGCAUAGCCGACCUGAGAGGGUGAUCGGCCACACUGGAACUGAGACACGGUCCAGACUCCUACGGGAGGCAGCAGUAGGGAAUCUUCCGCAAUGGGCGAAAGCCUGACGGAGCAACGCCGCGUGAGUGAUGAAGGUCUUCGGAUCGUAAAACUCUGUUAUUAGGGAAGAACAAAUGUGUAAGUAACUAUGCACAUCUUGACGGUACCUAAUCAGAAAGCCACGGCUAACUACGUG
rnacentral:rRNA from 1 species